AGCAGCCGCGGUAAUUCCAGCUCCAAUAGCGUAUAUUAAAGUUGUUGCAGUUAAAAAGCUCGUAGUUGAAUUUCGAGAUCAGUACGCUGGUCGUGCCUUCGGUAUGCACUGGUGUCACUGGUUUCUCCCUUCUGAAGAACCGUCAUGUCAUUAAGUUGGUGUGGCGGGGAAUCAGGACUGUUACUUUGAAAAAAUUAGAGUGUUUAAAGCAGGCUCGCGCUUGAAUACAUUAGCAUGGAAUAAUGAAAUAGGACGUUUGACCCUAUUUUGUUGGUUUCUAGGAUCGACGUAAUGAUUAAUAGGGAUAGUUGGGGGCAUUAGUAUUCAAUUGUCAGAGGUGAAAUUCUUGGAUUUAUUGAAGACUAACUACUGCGAAAGCAUUUGCCAAGGAUGUUUUCAUUAAUCAAGAACGAAAGUUAGGGGAUCGAAGACGAUCAGAUACCGUCGUAGUCUUAACCAUAAACUAUGCCGACUAGGGAUCGGAUGAUGUUAAUUUUUAAU
rnacentral:rRNA from 1 species